AAACAAACGGGAAAGAGCUAAAGAGAGAGUGUGUGAGAAUGAGACAGAAUCGUAGAAGUGAAAGGAUAAUAUGUAAUAAGGUAGAUCGCAGAAAGGCAGCUGGAAGCCCGUGGGAACAAUGGCACUUAUUCGUCAAGUCGAUACUUGAAACAACAGGACAAGACCCUGCGCAUCUGGCCCUAAUGUGGCGAGAAGAUGGAAGGUCUCAAGUUGGAUGCCUUUAGUCGAUGCAUGUGCAAGAUCAAUAUACCACUGGAGUGUCCCAUUCUACUCAUAAAAUUGGCUUUACCAAAAAAAAGUGGUGAAGGGGACACUUAAAAUACAAAUGAAUGUUCUUAUUGGCAGUCAGUAGACGAGUCAUUUAAAACACAAAAGAUAUAGCUCUUUGGAAUAAUAAUUAUUAAUGUAAGAAUGUAGAUAAUUAUUAAUGAUAUAGUGUAGCUAUUACUGUUGCCACAAGGCAGUUGUUUUAUUGCUACUUAUUCAACUGUGAAUUUGGUGAUGCGUACUUAUUUCAAUACUCACUGUUUGCAUAUAAAAUAAUAUUUUUGUGACUCACAAAGUAAAUUUUGGGGGCAAAAUAUGCUACAUAAUAGAAUUGUUAUUUGUAAUUCUGUACCACAAGCAUUAUCUCUCAUCUGUCUCUUAAUUUCUAGGGACAUCCCAAAUAUUUGGCUCAAAAAAAUGCUUUGUACCACCAAAUGCUGGGCAUUUUUAUUAAUUUUAAGUUAAUAGCAUCACUGUCUAAAUAAUGUCCCCAAUUUGGGGUAUUUUCCCUAAUUAUUUUUUCUUUUGUUUUGUCUGUAAAUUUGAAGGCAAUGUACGUCCAACUGAAACAUGACUCUAAAGACGAACUCCUAACCCACAACUAAGAAAAAACAAUACACUAGCCAUGAAUACUGCCACUCCCAAGUAUAUAUCAUCACAGUCAUUCGAGAUGCAAUUUUAAAUACACAAAUUAUGCACACUUAAAAUACAAACAUAAUGCAAUGACAAAAAAAAAAACAUGAUGCACAGACUUCACAUGCUAGAGAUACUCCAGCUCUUUUUUAAUAUCUAAGUUACUUUUACCAACUGCAGUUGUCAACAUGUUCCUAAAUGUGUACCUUUAGCUUCCACGAUACUUACACUUCUAAUUUAUAUAGAUUUUUAUCAAAUGUACAGAGUUUAUUUAGUUUUAAAUAUUUAGGAUGAACUAACCAGUACUACAGCGGUCUUAGAAUAAAGUACAAGCAAAGGCUGAUUUUUUUCUCCGCAGAGAAUAAUGUCCAUUCCCUUUAAUGUAACUCUUUAGGCAUUACACAUGUAAUGAAACA